CAAUCAUGAAGGAGACAGACCUAUGGGACUGACAAGACCUAUGAACGUCCUGAUGUUCUGCGCAGCAUUUGCUUUUGUUGCAGCUAUGAUUGUAGGCGUUUUUCCUUGAGCUGGGGUGCUUAAGGGAACGAAUAAAAAAACCGGGGCUUGCCCCGGUUUUU
rnacentral:sRNA from 1 species